rnacentral:misc_RNA from 1 species
GUAAGACUAUACUGUAGUUUUCUCAUGGAAGCAGAUAUCCACACUGUGCUAGAUUUUAUCACCCUUGUGGCAACAGUGUGGGUCAUUUAUAUGAUGAAGUUCAAGCUGAAGGCAUCCUACAUGGCAGAACUGGAUAACAUGCCCUUAUACUAUCCGAUAGUUCCCGCCGCAGUUUUAGCCUUCUUUGUCCAUCCUACUACAAGCCAUAUUCUGAUAAACCGAA